CAGUAACGGCGAGUGAAGCGGCAACAGCUCAAAUUUGAAAUCUGGCCCCCAGGGCCCGAGUUGUAAUUUGCAGAGGAUGCUUUUGGCGCGGUGCCUUCCGAGUUCCCUGGAACGGGACGCCAUAGAGGGUGAGAGCCCCGUCUGGUCGGACACCAAGCCAGUGUAAAGCUCCUUCGACGAGUCGAGUAGUUUGGGAAUGCUGCUCUAAAUGGGAGGUAUAUGUCUUCUAAAGCUAAAUACCGGCCAGAGACCGAUAGCGCACAAGUAGAGUGAUCGAAAGAUGAAAAGCACUUUGAAAAGAGGGUUAAACAGUACGUGAAAUUGUUGAAAGGGAAGCGUUUAUGACCAGACUUGGGCCCGGUGAAUCAUCCAGCGUUCUCGCUGGUGCACUUUGCCGGGCUCAGGCCAGCAUCAGUUCGUCGCGGGGGACAAAAGCUUCGGGAACGUGGCUCCCUCGGGAGUGUUAUAGCCCGUUGCAUAAUACCCUGCGGUGGACUGAGGUUCGCGCUCCGCAAGGAUGCUGGCGUAAUGGUCAUCAGCGACCCGUCUUGAAACACGGACCAAGGAGUCGUCUUCGUAUGCGAGUGUUCGGGUGUCAAACCCCUACGCGUAAUGAAAGUGAACGCAGGUGAGAGCUUCGGCGCAUCAUCGACCGAUCCUGAUGUUCUCGGAUGGAUUUGAGUAAGAGCAUACGGGGCCGGACCCGAAAGAAGGUGAACUAUGCCUGUAUAGGGUGAAGCCAGAGGAAACUCUGGUGGAGGCUCGCAGCGGUUCUGACGUGCAAAUCGAUCGUCAAAUAUGGGCAUGGGG
rnacentral:rRNA from 1 species